rnacentral:piRNA from 1 species
UUCCUUGGACCAAGCACUAAUGCAAUU